ACUCGACUCAAUUAUCAUUAAAUGCUCCUGUGUAAGUCAUCAAAGUCUCCAGAAUCUUCUUCACAUACAGGAUGUUAUAUGAGCUCCUUAACAAGGGAGUGAAAUGUGAUCAUGCAGCAGCACGGGAGAGGAGAGUGUAUCUGACAGAAGAGCUGCAUCAUCUAUAGUGAGGCAUGCGACGUGCACCACGGCGGGAUUGGACACGCGAGGGUCCGGGAGUGGCAAUGCGCGAUGUGCUCCUGGUGGAGCGGGUGAACGGAGAUGGAGUGGGGGUAGAAGGAAGGGGC